AAACGAAAUUGCUCUACAUCCUAGAUGUCUGGUUAAGUCAGAAGCUGGGAAAAAGCUUCCAUAAAUUUGACGCUGCAAAGGUUAAUUUUGACAAGGCACGUGAGUGUUUCUAGAGAGCUCUUGAUGAGGUCCCAGCAUUGCACAUGGAGAUCCACAAAAAUGGGCUUGGUCAGAUGACUGGUGGUGG